GAAUCCACCGGGGUGCAGCGAGGCUGUGGAAAGUCCCACCCAGAACGUGAGUGGGGACUCACCUGCACGUUUUGCGAAGAGGCCCACAGUCCUUUGCGUGGCGCUCGGACUACAUUUCCCAACGGCCCCUGCACGCCCUGGGGGCUGUUCCAUGCGGUGUUGCGCCUGCGUAGCCGGCGGGCUGGCAGUGAGACUGACUGCGUCGGGGUUGAGACUGGGUGGAUGAGGCUCACCCCGGCGGGGAGAAGGGACGAGGAGGGGCGGACAGCGGAAGGUCCGGGAGUGUCCGCCAUAAAGUCGUUUGAGUUUUAACUUCUAGUCAUGGCGAAUGAUCGCAGGAGAGCACAGACUGGACCCUGCUACGAUCUCUCUUGGAGUGGAUCAGACUGAUGAUCACCAACAACCAACUCAUUCCCGGAUAAGGAAGAAGAGAGUGUCACCUACUUCAGUGUGGUUUCAACCCUACUUCUGCAUCUUAAAGACACUUGUACAACGUUGGACACUGUGCAGGAUGAUGCCACUUCAUCUUGGAUGCUAAUCUGCCAUGUUGACUUCUGAUUAACCCCAGGCCCAGGAAUGCCUCAAGAUUUCUACUUUACUUACUGUUGCUUGUGUAAGCCAAGACAACCUUGAUGUUAUCAUAAACAUGUACUUACCUAAGUCCUGUCCUUUGGCAAAUUAUGGGCUAUGAGACACAGCAUUCUUGCCUUUCCCUGAGGGGUCAAUUUCAGCGAUCCUACACAUUCCUUCUGAAGCACUUAUGCUCUUUCUAUAUGGUAUGUAAGCUCUCGGUCUGGGGAGUAACAGUGCAGAGAUCUACCUGUCUUGUUGCCACAUGUUUCUAAACUUUCCAAUAAAUCACCUUCUACUGA
rnacentral:lncRNA from 1 species